ensembl:lncRNA
GUUGGCUGGAUGUCCUUUGUGUGGUGGACCAUUCUUAAUACACAUGGGCAAACAGUUGAGUGUGAACCCAGCAGCGUUGCAGUUUUUAGCACAAUUUAACCAGGUGCUCUAGACUAGAGUGUCCAUAGGGUCUGUGCAGCAGGCUGAAAGCUUGACUUCCCUACCAGGAGUAACAGCCCUGCUCCCUCCGCAUGUGUUGUCCAUGUGGGUGGCAUAUGUGUUGUGCAGGUGUUUUCAGGAGCUGAUGUGACAGACCACAGUGUGUUUGCUUAGCAUAGCUUUGGGUACGCUGUCCAUACAACGGCUCGAACCCUGGGCACAAUGCCUCGCAAGCACGUGACCGCCCGCUUGACAAUGCCUUUAGCCAGCUGCGCCACAGAAACGCUUUCAAUUGUUGUUUGUGUUUCAGGAGAUGGACGACAAGGUGACCAGUCCAGAGAAGGUUGAGGAGGCCAAGUUGAAGGCUCGCUACCCAAACCUGGGGCACAAACCUGGAGGCUCCGACCUGCUACGCAAACGCCUGACCAAGGGGCAAAAGUAUUUUGACUCUGGGGACUACAACAUGGCCAAGGCCAAGGUGAAGAACAAGCAGCUUCCUGCAGCUACGUCAGAGAAGAGCGGAGGAGGAGAGAUCACAGGAGACCAUAUCCCCACACCUCAGGACCUGCCUCAGAGGAAACCUUCCCUGGUGGCCAGCAAACUGGCCGGCUGAUACACACACUGUCCUGUCUCUAACCCUGUCAAUACUCCUAACAAUCACCCUGCUACACUUGUUCCUCUCUCACUACCUCUCCCCCAUCUACUUCUGCCCCAGCCCCAGAGAGACCCUUCCCUGGUGGCCAGCAAACUGGCACACACCUCUAACCGCCUGUCCCUGGUUCUGUCCCUCAUCCUCUUCACCCAGUCCUCUCUGCUUCCCCUCACCUUCCACUCUGUUAUGGCUCCCUCUUCUUCCUGCUCUUCCUCCCCUCGGUUCUUGUUUAUUUUCUAUUCUCAUGUAAAAAUACACUGAAAGCAAGGAUGAGGAUGUGUAGAAGGGAGAGAGGGAGGACUGGGAUGACUCUACUACAGGAGGAGACUUUAAAGAUGACCACAACUCUGUGUCCCAGAUGACACCCUAUCCCCUAUAUAGCCCUGUGGGCCCUGGUCAAAAGUACAUUGUACAAAACAUUAGGAAUACCAUUCCUAAUAUUGAGUUGCACCCCCUUUUGCCCUCAGAACAGCCUCAAUUCAUUGAGGCAUGGACUCUACAAGGUGUCGAAAGCGUUCCACAGGGAUGCUGGCUCAUGUUGACUCCAAUGCUUCUCACAGUUGUCAUAUUUGCUGGGUAUCUUUUGGGUGGUGAACCAUUAUUGAGACACACAGGAAACUGCAGUGUUGCAGUUCUUGACGCACUCAAACUGGCACCUACUACCAUAUCCCGAUCAAAGGCACCUAAAUCUGUCACCCUCUGAAUGGCACACAUACACAAUCUGUCUCGAGGCUCCACAAUCCUUCUUUAACCGGUCUCUAAUCAUUCAUCUAUACUGAUUUGAAUUGGAUUUAACAAGUGACAUCAAUAAGGAAUCAUAGCAUUCACCUGAUCAGUCUAUCAUGGAAAGAGCAGGUGUUCAUAAUGUUUUGUACACUUGUGUAUUUAGGGAAUAGGGUGCCAUUUUGGAUACACACCUGGAGAGUCUGUAACAUAGGAGGGAGGAGGACCCAGACUGGAGCCACAGAGAGUCUUGAAAUGGCACACUAUUCCCUAUGCAGUACACUACUAUCAACCAGCGCCCUAUGUGGCUGCCCUUUGAGCAUCUGGCCCAAAACGGUUACAUUACAUAGGGCAUAGUGAUCCAUUUGGGACAGGCAGGCGGUCUCUGGUCUAGAGGAUUGAAUGUCGUCUCCAGUCCUGUUAGCUGAUUGUGUAAAUAUUUCUAGUUGUGUUGGAGAGGAGUGAGGCUGAAGUCAGCCUUUUAGAAUGUUUUAACGUAGAAUAUUAUGAUUUACCAAACACGUUGGUGUUAUGUCGUCACCUAAAUUAUGCUCUAAUGUGCUUGAGUGAUUGAAUAUAACCUUGAUAAUGACUGACCAGAACCUCUCACUGCUGCUGUUCUGUUUUAAAGGCUACCUUUUUGUCACAAAUGGCAACCUAUUCAUUACAUAGUGCACCACUUUUAAACAGGGUCCAAGGGGCUCUAGUGGUGAGAAGUAGUGCAUUUUAUAGGGAAUCUCCAAUCAUACCCUUCUUUCUGUGUAGUGAACUACAUUACACCCACUGCCACACAGGGCUCUAGUCAAAAGUAGUGCACUAUUGGCGAGUUUCCAAUGAGGAUUUACCCCAGUGUUUUACCAAAAUACUCAGACUUUUCUGUUUCCGUCUACCCGGGUCGGCACCCGUGUCUCACUGGGCCAUGGCUCCAGUGGACCUGUUCUGACUUGGAGCCAAGCCCAGCCCAUAGCUAACUAUGAACUUUAACACCUUCUCACAAAGCUACUGUCAAGAAUGAUGUGGAGGUUGUUGAUUCUGCCUGCCCCAAGUCUUUAGCAUCAACCUCCUGAUAACACUAGAGCUUUACAUUAAAACACUGAUGACCCACUUGUGGGAGUAAGUCCCAAUGGAAAAGCACCAACAUGUAUGGCCCCAUAAAACCUCCUGACCAGGAAAAACUCUUGACCCUAUUUGUAACCUCUGGUUUCAGACCGGAGGGAGGAGUGAAUGUCACAGGUUUUUGGUGGCCCCUUUAGUUGUGGAGGAUGUGCUCGUGGUAAUGGCUGGAGUGGAAUGGUAUCAAACACAUGGUUUUCAUGUGUUUGAUACCAUUCCCAUUACUCUGUUCCAUCCAUUAUGAGCCGUCCUCCCCUCAGCAGCCUCCAGUGGUGAAUGUAGAUGUAACAGCUGGAUGAUGUGACCGGGGUGCUAAAGACAUCUUCAUUUAGCUCCAAAUGUUUUGGCCUCACACACACUCAUUCAUCUCUCACACACAGACACACUCCUCUACACAUCAACUCUCUCACAUAUACACACUCACUCCCACUCUCCUUCUUUCUCUCACACACACACUCCCUCAUAUACACCUACCCCCUUUGGCCAACAUAUCUUUACAGAUCUCAGUCACACCCUAUUCCCUAUAUAGUGCUCUACUGUAUAUAUGCACAGGCCAAUCCACUAGUGGGGGUGUGGUCAUCAAGGGUCUGAAGCUGAAGGACUGAAUAGUUAAGGUGUGUGUAUAUGACUGCCCCCAUCCACAACCCCCUGUCACUUUGUGCCAUUUUGUUUUGUAAAUAAAAUAGUUUUGCACAAA